GGGUUGUGAGGUUAAGCGACUAAGCGUACACGGUGGAUGCCCUGGCAGUCAGAGGCGAUGAAGGACGUGCUAAUCUGCGAAAAGCGUCGGUAAGGUGAUAUGAACCGUUAUAGCCGGCGAUGUCCGAAUGGGGAAACCCAGUGCAAUUCGUUGCACUAUCGUUAACUGAAUACAUAGGUUAACGAGGCGAACCGGGGGAACUGAAACAUCUAAGUACCCCGAGGAAAAGAAAUCAACCGAGAUUCCCCCAGUAGCGGCGAGCGAACGGGGAGCAGCCCAGAGUCUGAAUCAGCUUGUGUGUUAGUGGAACGGUCUGGAAAGUCCGACGGUACAGGGUGAUAGUCCCGUACACCAAAAUGCACAGGUUGUGAACUCGAAGAGUAGGGCGGGACACGUGGUAUCCUGUCUGAAUAUGGGGGGACCAUCCUCCAAGGCUAAAUACUCCUGACUGACCGAUAGUGAACCAGUACCGUGAGGGAAAGGCGAAAAGAACCCCGGCGAGGGGAGUGAAAAAGAACCUGAAACCGUGUACGUACAAGCAGUGGGAGCACCUUCGGGUGUGACUGCGUACCUUUUGUAUAAUGGGUCAGCGACUUAUAUUCUGUAGCAAGGUUAACCGUAUAGGGGAGCCGCAGGGAAACCGAGUCUUAACUGGGCGUUAAGUUGCAGGGUAUAGACCCGAAACCCGGUGAUCUAGCCAUGGGCAGGUUGAAGGUUGGGUAACACUAACUGGAGGACCGAACCGACUAAUGUUGAAAAAUUAGCGGAUGACUUGUGGCUGGGGGUGAAAGGCCAAUCAAACCGGGAGAUAGCUGGUUCUCCCCGAAAGCUAUUUAGGUAGCGCCUCGUGAACUCAUCUUCGGGGGUAGAGCACUGUUUCGGCUAGGGGGUCAUCCCGACUUACCAACCCGAUGCAAACUACGAAUACCGAAGAAUGUUAUCACGGGAGACACACGGCGGGUGCUAACGUCCGUCGUGAAGAGGGAAACAACCCAGACCGCCAGCUAAGGUCCCAAAGUCAUGGUUAAGUGGGAAACGAUGUGGGAAGGCACAGACAGCCAGGAUGUUGGCUUAGAAGCAGCCAUCAUUUAAAGAAAGCGUAAUAGCUCACUGGUCGAGUCGGCCUGCGCGGAAGAUGUAACGGGGCUAAACCAUGCACCGAAGCUGCGGCAGCGACACUAUGUGUUGUUGGGUAGGGGAGCGUUCUGUAAGCCUGCGAAGGUGUGCUGUGAGGCAUGCUGGAGGUAUCAGAAGUGCGAAUGCUGACAUAAGUAACGAUAAAGCGGGUGAAAAGCCCGCUCGCCGGAAGACCAAGGGUUCCUGUCCAACGUUAAUCGGGGCAGGGUGAGUCGACCCCUAAGGCGAGGCCGAAAGGCGUAGUCGAUGGGAAACAGGUUAAUAUUCCUGUACUUGGUGUUACUGCGAAGGGGGGACGGAGAAGGCUAUGUUAGCCGGGCGACGGUUGUCCCGGUUUAAGCAUGUAGGCUGGUUAUCCAGGCAAAUCCGGAUAAUCAAGGCUGAGGUGUGAUGACGAGGCACUACGGUGCUGAAGUAACAAAUGCCCUGCUUCCAGGAAAAGCCUCUAAGCAUCAGGUAACAUCAAAUCGUACCCCAAACCGACACAGGUGGUCAGGUAGAGAAUACCAAGGCGCUUGAGAGAACUCGGGUGAAGGAACUAGGCAAAAUGGUGCCGUAACUUCGGGAGAAGGCACGCUGGUGUGUAGGUGAAGCCCCUGCGGGUGGAGCUGAGACCAGUCGAAGAUACCAGCUGGCUGCAACUGUUUAUUAAAAACACAGCACUGUGCAAACACGAAAGUGGACGUAUACGGUGUGACGCCUGCCCGGUGCCGGAAGGUUAAUUGAUGGGGUUAUCCGUAAGGAGAAGCUCUUGAUCGAAGCCCCGGUAAACGGCGGCCGUAACUAUAACGGUCCUAAGGUAGCGAAAUUCCUUGUCGGGUAAGUUCCGACCUGCACGAAUGGCGUAAUGAUGGCCAGGCUGUCUCCACCCGAGACUCAGUGAAAUUGAACUCGCUGUGAAGAUGCAGUGUACCCGCGGCAAGACGGAAAGACCCCGUGAACCUUUACUAUAGCUUGACACUGAACAUUGAGCCUUGAUGUGUAGGAUAGGUGGGAGGCUUUGAAGCGUGGACGCCAGUCUGCGUGGAGCCAACCUUGAAAUACCACCCUUUAAUGUUUGAUGUUCUAACGUUGGCCCCUGACCGGGGUUGCGGACAGUGUCUGGUGGGUAGUUUGACUGGGGCGGUCUCCUCCCAAAGCGUAACGGAGGAGCACGAAGGUUAGCUAAUCCUGGUCGGACAUCAGGAGGUUAGUGCAAUGGCAUAAGCUAGCUUGACUGCGAGCGUGACGGCGCGAGCAGGUGCGAAAGCAGGUCAUAGUGAUCCGGUGGUUCUGAAUGGAAGGGCCAUCGCUCAACGGAUAAAAGGUACUCCGGGGAUAACAGGCUGAUACCGCCCAAGAGUUCAUAUCGACGGCGGUGUUUGGCACCUCGAUGUCGGCUCAUCACAUCCUGGGGCUGAAGUAGGUCCCAAGGGUAUGGCUGUUCGCCAUUUAAAGUGGUACGCGAGCUGGGUUUAGAACGUCGUGAGACAGUUCGGUCCCUAUCUGCCGUGGGCGCUGGAGAAUUGAGGGGGGCUGCUCCUAGUACGAGAGGACCGGAGUGGACGCAUCACUGGUGUUCGGGUUGUCAUGCCAAUGGCACUGCCCGGUAGCUAAAUGCGGAAGAGAUAAGUGCUGAAAGCAUCUAAGCACGAAACUUGCCCCGAGAUGAGUUCUCCCUGAGACUUUAAGUCUCCUGAAGGAACGUUGAAGACGACGACGUUGAUAGGCCGGGUGUGUAAGCGCAGCGAUGCGUUGAGCUAACCGGUACUAAUGAACCGUGAGGCUUAACCUUACAACGCCGAAG
rnacentral:rRNA from 1 species